UAAUUAAAUCCUAAAUCUUAAAUCAAACCUUAGACAAAUUCUAAACCCUAAAUCAAAUCCUAACUAAAUUCUAAAUCCUAAACCAAAUCCUAAAUCAAAUCCUAACCAAAUUCUAAACUCUAAACCAAAUCCUAAUCAAAUCCUAAACCCUAAAAUCUGCUCGGAUGUUGGCCGACCUCUCUUUUCAACCUUGAUGUUGAUUUUUCAAUACUAACAUCUCUCUUUUGCUUCAUUCAAUUGAUUUAAAAAUUCUCAAAUAUAUAGGAAAAUAAGUCUACUACCUAUACACAUAACUUUCACUUCAAUUCAACUAGUAGAUUGCAAGAAAUCUUAAAAAUCCUCACUGGACC
rnacentral:lncRNA from 1 species